GAAAGCCGGAUUAAUACCGCAUACGAUCUACGGAUGAAAGCGGGGGAUCUUCGGACCUCGCGCUAUAGGGGCGGCCGAUGGCGGAUUAGCUAGUUGGUGAGGUAAAGGCUCACCAAGGCGACGAUCCGUAGCUGGUCUGAGAGGACGACCAGCCACACUGGGACUGAGACACGGCCCAGACUCCUACGGGAGGCAGCAGUGGGGAAUUUUGGACAAUGGGCGAAAGCCUGAUCCAGCAAUGCCGCGUGUGUGAAGAAGGCCUUCGGGUUGUAAAGCACUUUUGUCCGGAAAGAAAUCCUUGAUCCUAAUAUGGUCGGGGGAUGACGGUACCGGAAGAAUAAGCACCGGCUAACUACGUGCCAGCAGCCGCGGUAAUACGUAGGGUGCAAGCGUUAAUCGGAAUUACUGGGCGUAAAGCGUGCGCAGGCGGUGAUGUAAGACCGAUGUGAAAUCCCCGGGCUCAACCUGGGAACUGCAUUGGUGACUGCAUCGCUUGAGUAUGGCAGAGGGGGGUAGAAUUCCACGUGUAGCAGUGAAAUG
rnacentral:rRNA from 1 species